CGAGCACGCGCGUGUGGCAUAUCAAUAAGCGGAGGAAAAGAAACUAACAUAGGAUUCCCUCAGUAACGGCGAGUGAAGCGGGAAGAGCUCAAAUUUGAAAUCUUCAAGGUUCUACCUUGACGAAUUGUAGUUUAUAGAAGUGUUUUCUGUAGUGGAGUUUGGUAAAAGUUCUUUGGAAUAGGACAUCAUAGAGGGUGAGAAUCCCGUAUUUGGACCAUUAUUCCUAGCGUUGUGAUACACUUUCAAAGAGUCGGAUUGUUUGGGAAUGCAGUCCAAAAUGGGUGGUAAAUUUCAUCUAAAGCUAAAUACUGGCGAGAGACCGAUAGCGAACAAGUACCGUGAGGGAAAGAUGAAAAGAACUUUGAAAAGAGAGUUAAACAGUACGUGAAAUUGUCAAAAGGGAAGCGUUUGACACCAGUGUUGUUUUCUCGAAAAUCAAUUAAGAAUGCGGAUUUUGUUUUAAGGAGUAUGACUUUAUCAGGCUUUCUGCACUUUUUUCCUGUAACUUUUUUAAUGCACUUUUCGGUUAACAAGUCAACAUCAAUUUCUUUUGCUGUAAAAGAGGUCAUUGAGGAAGGUGGCUUUCUUUUCGGAGAAAGUGUUUAUAGCCUUUGGCUUCUGCAAUCGGAGAGAUUGAGGUCUGCAGCGUAGAUCCUUCGGGGUUAGAUACAGUUUGUGCUAAGUUAUAGCCUUUUCAUAGACAACUUGUUGACUAUGUAUCAGUCAUGUAGCUUACUCGCUGACUGUCUAUUUUACCUACGCUUAGGAUGUUGAUGUGAUACUGCGAGC
rnacentral:rRNA from 1 species